AACGGGCGAAGAUUUGAAUCUUCUCUAAAUCGUCUCUUGAAGCUCGUCGCUGUGUCAUACAUCGCCACCGGUCAAGACAGAGACUGCAUUCUACUGCUUAUUAUCAUACAAACAUGCACCGGUUAUGGAGAAUGAGUUCCGCUACACACUGUUCUACAAAACAACAAUUACUACGCUGAGUUUCUUCGAGAAAACACGCUGAAUUGAUAUGUUGAGUUUCUUCAAUUGCAGGCACCAAAGAGUGCGACGAUUCUUUUCUAUGAUUUGGGGGAAUUCAGUAUUAGAAUUCUUCAAUUUGGGAUUGAUUGGAUCGACUGAAAUGAUUUGGGAUUUUUCUUCAA